rnacentral:ncRNA from 1 species
AAAAUGGCGAUGACGGAGACAGUAAUGACGGUGAAAGCCAAAGCGAGCCGGGGGCGGUGGGAGCCCGGUGCAGAAACCGAUCAUGAACAUCCCUCCGUAGCCGGAAUGCGGAAAAUCAGUACGCAUUCCCGGAGCACCCCGUUACGGUGUCCGAGAGGCGGCAUGCGCAAUCACGUGUGCCGCAAUGAGGGUGGUAACGCGGGAAAGCUCCCCGUCCCUUUG